rnacentral:rRNA from 1 species
GGGGAAUAUUGCACAAUGGGGGGAAACCCUGAUGCAGCAACGCCGCGUGAAGGAUGACGGUUUUCGGAUUGUAAACUUCUUUUCUUAGUGACGAAGACAGUGACGGUAGCUAAGGAAUAAGCAUCGGCUAACUACGUGCCAGCAGCCGCGGUAAUACGUAGGAUGCAAGCGUUAUCCGGAUUUACUGGGUGUAAAGGGAGCGCAGGCGGGACUGCAAGUUGGAUGUGAAAUACCGUGGCUUAACCACGGAACUGCAUCCAAAACUGUAGUUCUUGAGUGAAGUAGAGGCAAGCGGAAUUCCGAGUGUAGCGGUGAAAUGCGUAGAUAUUCGGAGGAACACCAGUGGCGAAGGCGGCUUGCUGGGCUUUAACUGACGCUGAGGCUCGAAAGUGUGGGGAGCAAACAGGAUUAGAUACCCUGGUAGUCCACACUGUAAACGAUGAUAGCUAGGUGUGGGGGGUCUGACCCCUUCCGUGCCGGAGUUAACGCAAUAAGCUAUCCACCUGGGGAGUACGACCGCAAGGUUGAAACUCAAAGGAAUUGACGGGGGCCCGCACAAGCAGUGGAUUAUGUGGUUUAAUUCGAAGCAACGCGAAGAACCUUACCAGGUCUUGACAUCCGACUAACGAGAUAGAGAUAUGUCAGGUGCCCUUCGGGGAAAGUCGAGACAGGUGGUGCAUGGUUGUCGUCAGCUCGUGUCGUGAGAUGUUGGGUUAAGUCCCGCAACGAGCGCAACCCCUGCCAUUAGUUGCUACGCAAGAGCACUCUAAUGGGACCGCUACCGACAAGGUGGAGGAAGGUGGGGACGACGUCAAAUCAUCAUGCCCCUUAUGACCUGGGCUACACACGUAAUACAAUGGCCGUUAACAGAGGGAAGCAAAGCGGUGACGCAGAGCAAAACCCUAAAAACGGUCCCAGUUCGGACUGUAGGCUGCAACCCGCCUACACGAAGUUGGAAUUGCUAGUAAUCGCGGAUCAGCAUGCCGCGGUGAAUACGUUCCCG